GUUAUUCUCCACACAGAUUUAAAAGGAGAAGCAGGAUAAGAUAUGUACUGUUGCUGCAUGAUCACAGAUAUUUAAUGAUAACAAGGCAGUAAAGCAACUAGAGGCUCUUGGAUGCAACCUCCCAUCUAAUACAGGAUUAUUAAGUAGCACGUAAGGACCCUUGCACUUCUUCAAUUUUAGCCAGUCUUAUUCCUCCUUUCCUACAUGUCCUUGGAUGCUACAUGGAGGACCACUACAGGAGCCACAAAUAGCCAAGAAGAAAAUUAUCCUCACUUUCACAUCCACAAUAGCUCAUGGAGCAAAGAAAACGCAGUUACACUGAAAAUACGUUCUGCUGUGGUAGUCCCACAGCCUGGGUCUACCAAGUGCAUAUGGCAUCUUCAGAAAGGUAACAAACUCCAAGAAGCAUCCACCCACUAUUUAAAUCACAGACUGCUUGAAGGGAUGUUUUUGCUGUGACAGACUCUGGAAAAAUCAUUACUUUAAUUGCAGUAUAUUUUAGUGACAAUUUCUCUGCGUGAACCACCAGUAUCAAGUCCCAGAUUAUGAUGUAAAAGGUUUCAGUAAAAUGACUCUAGAGUUUUUA